CAAAGGCAUGGUCCUGACCUUAUUAUUAGCUCUUACCCGACUUACACAUGCAAGUCUCCGCAAUCCCGUGAGUAUGCCCUCAAUCCCCUGCCCGGGGACGAGGAGCGGGCAUCAGGCACAAAUUUUAGCCCAAGACGCCUGGCCAAGCCACACCCCCAAGGGAAUUCAGCAGUGAUAAACAUUAAGCCAUAAGUGAAAACUUGACUCAGUCAAGGUAAAGAGGGCCGGUAAAACUCGUGCCAGCCACCGCGGUUAAACGAGAGGCCCUAGUUGAUAAAACCACGGCGUAAAGGGUGGUUAAGGAAAGCAAACAAAUUAAAGCCAAAUGGCCCUUUGGCCGUCAUACGCUUCUAGGUGUCCGAAGCCCAAUUAUACGAAAGUAGCUUUAUAAAGCCCACC
rnacentral:rRNA from 1 species